UACAGAGGUCUCAAGCGUUGUUCGGAUUCAUUGGGCGUAAAGGGUGCGUAGGUGGCGAUGUAAGUCUGGUGUGAAAUCUCGGGGCUCAACCUCGAAAUUGCAUUGGAUACUGCGUUGCUUGAGGAUUGUAGGGGAGAGUGGAAUUCACGGUGUAGCAGUGAAAUGCGUAGAUAUCGUGAGGAAGACCAGUUGCGAAGGCGACUCUCUGGGCAAUUCCUGACACUGAGGCACGAAGGCCAGGGGAGCAAACGGG
rnacentral:rRNA from 1 species